GAACGCACAUUGCGCCCGCUGGAACUCCGGCGGGCACGCCUGUCCGAGCGUCAUUUCAACCCUCAGGCCCCCCUUCGCGGGCGGGACUGGUGUUGGGGCUCGGCCGCUAUCCUGCGGCCGUCCCCUAAAUUCAGUGGCGGCCUCGCCGUGAUCCCUUGCGUAGUAAUACACCUCGCACUGGAAAGCGCCGUGGCCACGCCGUAAAACCCCCAAUUUUCAAUUGUUGACCUCGGAUCAGGUGGGAAUACCCGCUGAACUUAAG
rnacentral:misc_RNA from 1 species